rnacentral:rRNA from 1 species
AGUGAACGCUGGCGGUAGGCCUAACACAUGCAAGUCGAACGGCAGCACAGUAAGAGCUUGCUCUUACGGGUGGCGAGUGGCGGACGGGUGAGGAAUACAUCGGAAUCUACUUUUUCGUGGGGGAUAACGUAGGGAAACUUACGCUAAUACCGCAUACGACCUACGGGUGAAAGCAGGGGAUCUUCGGACCUUACGCGAUUGAAUGAGCCGAUGUCGGAUUAGCUAGUUGGCGGGGUAAAGGCCCACCAAGGCGACGAACCGUAGCUGGUCUGAGAGGAUGAUCAGCCACACUGGAACUGAGACACGGUCCAGACUCCUACGGGAGGCAGCAGUGGGGAAUAUUGGACAAUGGGCGCAAGCCUGAUCCAGCCAUACCGCGUGGGUGAAGAAGGCCUUCGGGUUGUAAAGCCCUUUUGUUGGGAAAGAAAAGCAGCAGGUUAAUACCCCGCUGUUCUGACGGUACCCAAAGAAUAAGCACCGGCUAACUUCGUG